GAGUCUCCAUCCAGCUGGAUCUCUGUCACAGAGAAACCCACCACUACAAGUCCUGCUUCAACCACCUCUCCUCCUGGUUCCUCGUCUUCUCAUCUCUCUGUGUUCUGGUCUGCUGUUCAAUCUCUCGUGUUCUGGUUCUACUGGUGAGACGAUGCCUCCACAGGAAACCUAAAGCUGCUGAAGAAGAAGCUGGGGAUGAUGACAUCACAGACCUACAUCAGCCAAUCAGACGCAGCAGAGGUAACAAUGUUUUAUUGAUUCUGGUUUUCAGGGACAGUGAGU